CUGUGUUUCAUAGCCGCGGCAGUCUCCUGAGCCACGGCUGUGUUUGUCUCUGCUUCCCCGAUCGCGGGCUGCCCGCGCGGGUAGGGUGCGCGCGCCCCCUCCCCACCGGGGAUCAGUCCGCGAUCGUGAUACCACACGUGCGGCGGCCAUUUUGGGCGGUCCGUCGGCUGAUCGGUCGCUCACUCUGCUGCUGCCGUGCGGUCUGUCUCCCCGGUCUGGGUCCCCUGAGUGCACCAGCGGGCAGGUUUUCUUCACAGUGUUCCUUGUGGGUUACUCAACCCUUCUCCAUUUCGUUUCCCCUUAAAGCUGUAUUCCAGUUUAUUUAUUUUCAUCAGUUAGUGCAGAUAACUUGCUUUGUUUACCUACUGUCACUUAAAGGUAUAUUCCCCUAUUAUUGCCACCAUGCAGGAUAAGGAGGAUGGGCCUAUGGGCACCCCUGGUGACUUUAAUAUUGAUAACCCUGAGGGUGCUAUGGCCUCCCAGGAAUUUCAGGCCCUGCUGGAUGCCACUAUGGCUUCGUCCUUACAAAAAGCUUUUGCUUCUGCAAUGGGUGCUGUUUCUUCCUCCUUCUCUCAGUCACUGCAUUCUAUGCUUAUGCCCUCACUGCCUACCCCCACCCUCCAGGGUGCGGGGUCCCCUUCCUCUGCUCAGACUGUGCCUGGUACCCGUAAGGCAAAGGCAAAAUCUAAGCACGUUGAUUCCCACUCCUCGAUGCAGGUGUUACCUGCCAUGACUGACACACUUGAUGUGGUCACAGACAGCGCGCAUCCCACGCGCAAAAGAGCCCCUGGCCGGGCUAAAAAGGCUAGAUUGUGGAAAAGGGCCAGGGCCCUAGAUGAUGAGUCGGAUACCGACCGGAGUGUGGAACGUGACUCUGAUGCUAUGGAGUAUGACUCCUAUGAUGAGGGAGGGUCAGACGAGGAAUUACCCUCCGCGGAGGUUGCCCCCUCUGGGUCCUCUGCCGUGGCCCUAGGCCAAGUUAAGAUUCCCUCUGGGGACAGUAAGGCCAUUUUUGACCCCCAGGGAAACCCACUGUUCGACCCUGACGAUCUGCGUCACCCACGGUCAGCAGAGUGGGUCCCCCCGGACCAUAUUGCAC